rnacentral:tRNA from 1 species
AAACGUGUGGUGUAAUUGGUAACAUUUCUGUUUUGGGAACAGACGACUGCGGGUUCAAGUCCCGCCACCUGGA